GACCAGACUCCUACGGGAGGCAGCAGUGGGGAAUAUUGCACAAUGGGGGAAACCCUGAUGCAGCAACGCCGCGUGAGUGAAGAAGUAUUUCGGUAUGUAAAGCUCUAUCAGCAGGGAAGAAAAUGACAGUACCUGACUAAGAAGCCCCGGCUAACUACGUGCCAGCAGCCGCGGUAAUACGUAGGGGGCAAGCGUUAUCCGGAUUUACUGGGUGUAAAGGGAGCGUAGACGGCUGCGCAAGUCAGAAGUGAAAGCCCGGGGCUCAACCGCGGGACUGCUCUUGGAACUGCGCGGCUGGAGUGCAGGAGGGGCAGGCGGAAUUCCUGGUGUAGCGGUGAAAUGCGUAGAUAUCAGGAGGAACACCGGUGGCGAAGGCGGCCUGCUGGACUGCGACUGACGUUGAGGCCCGAAAGCGUGGGGAGCAAACAGGAUUAGAUACCCGGGUA
rnacentral:rRNA from 1 species